GCGCCGAAGCGCUUAACGCACCUCCUGAUCAGUCAAUGCAGUUGUCACCUGCAUUCGACUGUCAAUCUGACUUGAGCGCUGGACCAAAAGUCAUCCGAAUUGGUUAAGAAGCAGAAGUGAAAUCCAUGUGUGCUGCUUCACAGCGAUAUUAUCUUUAAAAUUUACUAAUUUCCUUAAUUUUCUGUUCUCAGAACGGUAAUUUAUUCAGUGCAACCACUUGGGGUUAAAAUCUAAUGAAUUUUGCAAUUUUUUCCUCAAUUAGCUUUAUGUGAAAUUACAUAACCUAAAACCCGUUGAACCAUGAGAGAUGAUCAUGAGUUCAGCCAAACCAAGCUCGACCGGAUUUGCCGAUUAGCCACCGAAUUGCAUUAGGGAGCAAAAACGUAAGUUCGUUUUUCCAUUUAGAAGGCUAUUUUUUAAACAAUAUAUGUAUUUUACCGCUACAGGAAUUUAUUAAUCCACCAAAUAUACCGACUAAGACAUGCAAACAGCUUUGUUUUAAUGUCCCCGGACUGUGAUUAAUAAACCGGAUGAAUCCUCCCGUUGGCCACAGCCAACAUUUUAAUAAAUUCGUUUGCACACGAGCAAACGCGGCCAAUCCGGUAAUGCCGAACCCAAUCCAGCCAUGUCACCAUGGUCACGUUGUUAAUUGCUUUGGCAGAGGGCCAGAAGCCAGAGAAACGACGCAUGUUGAUGCCUAUCUGCUGAGACGCCACCAAAGCUGUGUUGGAGUACCAAAUGAGACCGAGCACCUUGCCUGGAAUUUGCCCAAAUGCAGCAUCGCGAUCGGGCACUCCAAGCCAAGCUCACAUUCAUGUACUCCUCAAACAGCUGGUCAGCAGAAACGUCCUUCUGCUACAAGUAUCAGCAAAGAAUCAACCAGUUUCUCCGUUUUUCAACACCCUCACUCACCUCAGCCCACGGUUCAAAACCAUGCCAGGCCACUGUUGCAGCACAAGUUGCCCGACAUUGGACCAGGUCCACGAGCAAACAAAUGUACGCCUUCGACAUCAACAAAAACCUCCCUCAAGUUUCGCCUCAAACUUGCCGAUCUCAAGCUUCAAAAAAUACAACAAGAACAAGACCUGCUCAAGAAGAAACUGGAUCUGGAACGUGACGUUUUUAAUCGUAAGUAUGCACUGCUUGGGGUUUCUUCCGAUGCCCAACCAUCUGACCAUCAAGUGACAACCGUGGAUUACUCAAACCCAGCUCAAUCGGGCGCAAUAGUGAGUCAAACUUCACUCGCUAAACUCAAUCCAGUUGAUGUGCCAAAUCCAGCGUCCAGUCAGCGCAAAUGGUACUGGACACCAUCUCCAACAUGCUCGACGGCCAGCCAACCCCCGCACACAGAAGUCGCCAAAUCAAAACAGCGUGCCAACUCCGCACGAACAACCAACGAUGGACAACUGGAAGAGGAAAAUGCCAGCUUCCAGCUCCAACAACAUUACCGAUCCGCGGGUCAACAAUAUCUGUGGACGGCCACCAAUCACACCGACGUCUACCGUGCCGCCAACGCUUGGUCGAUCGUUCGGAGUCGUAUCGUCCGCUACCAAUACCAAGCUCUGACGAUCAGCUGUUUUCCGAUCUUAACACAAGGAAGAAUCACGACACAAAUACUGUCUCGCACCCCGACUACUUACCACGAAAAGGAAAACAAGAAAGAUCGGCAAAUGUUCACGUUCGGAUCAUACUACGACACACAAGUGAGCCUAACCAACCGGCCAACCCAGUCGCUUGUGAGUAUGGAAUGUGACAACACCGAAUUCAACGACCUGCGAAACUCGGUCGUCCAGAUGACUAAACUCCUCAGAACAAACCUGCGAUUUUUCCAAACCUCGUACUUCAACACCUUGCGCGUACCGAUUAAUUCAGCAGCGAGCUGUAUCUACAAGCAGAAGGCCUCAGUACUACGGGGUGCUGAACAAGUUCGACUACAUUUCCAGUCCAGCUGGAACACUUUGGUACCUUCAAGCCUAACCGGGAACAGCAGCGCACGAGGAAUAUCACUUCACUUUGACCCGCCGAAGGGACCCGAUUUGAUGCUUGUGUCGAAAGUAAACGUUGAACGGGAGACCUACCAAGAUCGGAUCAGUUGUUUACAGAGUGUUCGCGCACACACAAUCACCACGAGAACCAGUACACCACAACACACCGCAGAUCUACACAUCAUCGUGAGUACGAGCUAUAUGAAGAUUGCGUUCAGGAAAGGUUGCUCACCUGCUGAAUGGACUCCUUCACCCGCAAGUUCAUUGCUUGACGUCGUUGAUCAUUUUCACCUGGAGCCGUCUGGACACUCGGUGCGGUGGAAGGUAAACCGCACAGAUUGGUUCGGUGUACCUGGGGGGACUGUUACGCGCCGAAGCGCUUAACGCACCUCCUGAUCAGUCAAUGCAGUUGUCACCUGCAUUCGACUGUCAAUCUGACUUGAGCGCUGGACCAAAAGUCAUCCGAAUUGGUUAAGAAGCAGAAGUGAAAUCCAUGUGUGCUGCUUCACAGCGAUAUUAUCUUUAAAAUUUACUAAUUUCCUUAAUUUUCUGUUCUCAGAACGGUAAUUUAUUCAGUGCAACCACUUGGGGUUAAAAUCUAAUGAAUUUUGCAAUUUUUUCCUCAAUUAGCUUUAUGUGAAAUUACAUAACCUAAAACCCGUUGAACCAUGAGAGAUGAUCAUGAGUUCAGCCAAACCAAGCUCGACCGGAUUUGCCGAUUAGCCACCGAAUUGCAUUAGGGAGCAAAAACGAAUUUAUUAAUCCACCAAAUAUACCGACUAAGACAUGCAAACAGCUUUGUUUUAAUGUCCCCGGACUGUGAUUAAUAAACCGGAUGAAUCCUCCCG